rnacentral:rRNA from 1 species
GACGAACGCUGGCGGCGUGCUUAACACAUGCAAGUCGAACGGAAAGGCCCUGCUUUUGUGGGGUGCUCGAGUGGCGAACGGGUGAGUAACACGUGAGUAACCUGCCCUUGACUUUGGGAUAACUUCAGGAAACUGGGGCUAAUACCGGAUAGGAGCUCCUGCUGCAUGGUGGGGGUUGGAAAGUUUCGGCGGUUGGGGAUGGACUCGAGGCUUAUCAGCUUGUUGGUGGGGUAGUGGCUUACCAAGGCUUUGACGGGUAGCCGGCCUGAGAGGGUGACCGGCCACAUUGGGACUGAGAUACGGCCCAGACUCCUACGGGAGGCAGCAGUGGGGAAUAUUGCACAAUGGGCGGAAGCCUGAUGCAGCAACGCCGCGUGCGGGAUGACGGCCUUCGGGUUGUAAACCGCUUUCGACUGUGACGAAGCGUGAGUGACGGUAAUGGGUAAAGAAGCCCCGGCUAACUACGUG